rnacentral:tRNA from 1 species
GGGAUUAUAGCUCAGUUGGUUAGAGUGCCACGUUGACAUCGUGGAAGUCGGAGGUUCAAGUCCUCUUAAUCCCACCA